UCUAUAAUGCAGUCGACGAACUCUGGUAUUGAUUGGUGCUUGCAUCAUGAUUUACAUUUGAGUGAGUGGCGAACUGGUGAGUAACACGUGGGAAACCUGCCCAGAAGCGGGGGAUAACACCUGGAAACAGAUGCUAAUACCGCAUAACAACUUGGACCGCAUGGUCCGAGUUUGAAAGAUGGCUUCGGCUAUCACUUUUGGAUGGUCCCGCGGCGUAUUAGCUAGAUGGUGGGGUAACGGCUCACCAUGGCAAUGAUACGUAGCCGACCUGAGAGGGUAAUCGGCCACAUUGGGACUGAGACACGGCCCAAACUCCUACGGGAGGCAGCAGUAGGGAAUCUUCCACAAUGGACGAAAGUCUGAUGGAGCAACGCCGCGUGAGUGAAGAAGGGUUUCGGCUCGUAAAACUCUGUUGUUAAAGAAGAACAUAUCUGAGAGUAACUGUUCAGGUAUUGACGGUAUUUAACCAGAAAGCCACGGCUAACUACGUGCCAGCAGCCGCGGUAAUACGUAGGUGGCAAGCGUUGUCCGGAUUUAUUGGGCGUAAAGCGAGCGCAGGCGGUUUUUUAAGUCUGAUGUGAAAGCCUUCGGCUCAACCGAAGAAGUGCAUCGGAAACUGGGAAACUUGAGUGCAGAAGAGGACAGUGGAACUCCAUGUGUAGCGGUGAAAUGCGUAGAUAUAUGGAAGAACACCAGUGGCGAAGGCGGCUGUCUGGUCUGUAACUGACGCUGAGGCUCGAAAGUAUGGGUAGCAAACAGGAUUAGAUACCCUGGUAGUCCAUACCGUAAACGAUGAAUGCUAAGUGUUGGAGGGUUUCCGCCCUUCAGUGCUGCAGCUAACGCAUUAAGCAUUCCGCCUGGGGAG
rnacentral:rRNA from 2 species